AUGAUGAUGAAAGACGAAGCUUUGUUGAUGAAAUUGAUUGUCAGAGAUAUGUUGCAACAAGAUGAUUGCAGAUGGACUUUUGCGAUGAAGGUUGCAUAUUCAAAACUUGAAGUGGGGUGGAAAUUUUCUGGGUUACAGUUGAGUUCCAAGUGGCCUAGUAGGAUUUGUGUUGAAGCAGCAUUUGAAUUAUCCUGUGUUUUCUCGGCAGAAGAUGAUGGCGGUGCUUGUGGCAUUGAAGAACUACCUUUUUUGGAGAACAGAAACCUUGUGUUUGUGAACUGGAAGAGCGUUUAUCUCUUCUUCAGUCAUAGAAGGUGCAGUAGAAACAUUAUCCAAAUCCAGAGCUCUUAA